GUGAUUUGGAGCAUGUUCCUGGUGUGAGGUCUUAUGGACUGCGUUCUGCUGAUGAACGCUAUGAUGUGUACUGCUAUGUGGACAAAUUACGGGGGGAAGUUUUCCAUGCAAGUUCAUUCGAGGGAUUUACUUAUGGUGAAGCAGUGGCUUACUGCCAGGGCAAGAAUGCCUCCCUGGCCUCCACAGGAGACCUGUAUGCCACUUGGAAGCAGGGCUUUGAUAAGUGCCGUGCUGGCUGGCUUCUUGACCGCAGUGUACGUUACUCCAUCAAUAACCCGCGGCAGCAGUGUGGUGGAGGGAAGGCUGGAAUUCACACAGUUUACAAGUUUCCCAACCAGACUGGCUCUCAUGACCUGCACUCCAAAUUUGAUGCAUACUGCAUCAAGGUGGAUCUGGAUCUGUCUCUGAAUGAAAGUGAAACAAACAUGACGGUGACAGAGGAAAAGAUAGUGAGCAUGACAUCCCUC
rnacentral:lncRNA from 1 species